AAAUGUAGUUAUACUGGGUAAGUGUAUAGAACAUGCCUGAUCUCAUCUGGUCUUAGAAGAUAAGCACUGUUGAGACUAGUUAGUGUUUGGAGUCCACCUGGAAAUACUGGAUGCUAUAGGUU
ensembl:rRNA 5S_rRNA 5S ribosomal RNA